GACGAACGCUGGCGGCGUGCCUAACACAUGCAAGUCGAACGGAACUGCGCGGAGCGUGCGGUUCUUAGCUUAGUGACGAACGGGUGAGUAACGCGUGAGUAACCUGCCAUGGCGUGGUGGACCACGGUUGGAAGCGCCUGCUAAUACCGCAUAAGCUCACGAUCGGGCAUGGGGGUGAGGGAAAUGGAUUUAUUCGCAUCAGGAUGGCGUCGCGUCUAUUUAGCGAGUGGGUGAGGUAACGGCCCACGAAGGCGAGGAUUGGUAGCCGGAGUGAGAGGGGGAACGGCCACACUGGGACUGAGACACGACCCAGACUCGUACGGGAGGCAGCAGUGGGGGAUAUUGCACAAUGGGGGAGACGCUGAGGCGGCGAGUGGGCGUGGAGGAAGAAGGUGUUGGGAUUGUAAUCUCCUGGCGUUAGGGACGAUUAUGACGGUACCUAGCAAGAAAGCACCGGCUAACUACGUG
rnacentral:rRNA from 1 species